GUCGAGCGAAUCUUUCGGAACUUGUUCCGGAAGAUUAGCGGCGGACGGGUGAGUAACACGUGGGCAACCUGCCUGUAAGACUGGGAUAACACCGGGAAACCGGUGCUAAUACCGGAUAAUUCUUUUCCUCUCAUGAGGGAAAGUUGGAAGUCGGUUUCGGCUGACACUUACAGAUGGGCCCGCGGCGCAUUAGCUAGUUGGUGAGGUAACGGCUCACCAAGGCGACGAUGCGUAGCCGACCUGAGAGGGUGAUCGGCCACACUGGGACUGAGACACGGCCCAGACUCCUACGGGAGGCAGCAGUAGGGAAUCUUCCACAAUGGACGAAAGUCUGAUGGAGCAACGCCGCGUGAGCGAUGAAGGCCUUCGGGUCGUAAAGCUCUGUUGUUAGGGAAGAACAAGUACCGGAGUAACUGCCGGUACCUUGACGGUACCUAACCAGAAAGCCACGGCUAACUACGUGCCAGCAGCCGCGGUAAUACGUAGGUGGCAAGCGUUGUCCGGAAUUAUUGGGCGUAAAGCGCGCGCAGGCGGUCCUUUAAGUCUGAUGUGAAAGCCCACGGCUCAACCGUGGAGGGUCAUUGGAAACUGGGGGACUUGAGUGCAGAAGAGGAAAGCGGAAUUCCACGUGUAGCGGUGAAAUGCGUAGAGAUGUGGAGGAACACCAGUGGCGAAGGCGGCUUUCUGGUCUGUAACUGACGCUGAGGCGCGAAAGCGUGGGGAGCAAACAGGAUUAGAUACCCUGGUAGUCCACGCCGUAAACGAUGAGUGCUAAGUGUUAGAGGGUUUCCGCCCUUUAGUGCUGCAGCUAACGCAUUAAGCACUCCGCCUGGGGAGUACGGCCGCAAGGC
rnacentral:rRNA from 1 species